CUGGCCCUCAGGCUGGCAGCUUCCUGAUGCUGUUAGUUUCAGGCAGGAGCCUAAAGAGAUGUCUUUCUAUGAUCUGUUGGCCAUUUCAGAACUUGGGCAGUGAAACAGUCAAUUCAUUAGAAAGAAACAGCU
ensembl:snoRNA small nucleolar RNA SNORA2/SNORA34 family